GAGAGCAGUGUGAGCCGAGAGGUUCACGCAUAGUUCUGCAAGAGGCUGAGGGUGAAACUCCUUCGGUCUACUCACCUCAAU
rnacentral:ncRNA from 1 species